rnacentral:rRNA from 1 species
GAUGAACGCUGGCGGCGUGCCUAAUACAUGCAAGUCGAGCGAACAGACGAGGCUCUUGCUCCUCUGACGUUAGCGGCGGACGGGUGGGUAACACGUGGAUAACCUACCUAUAAGACUGGGAUAACUUCGGGAAACCGGAUCUAAUACCGGAUCAUAUAUUGAACCGCAUGGUUCAAUAGUGAAAGACGGUUUUGCUGUCACUUAUAGAUGGAUCCGGGCCGGAUUAGCUAGUUGGUAAGGUAACGGCUUACCAAGGCAACGAUGCGUAGCCGACCUGAGAGGGUGAUCGGCCACACUGGAACUGAGACACGGUCCAGACUCCUACGGGAGGCAGCAGUAGGGAAUAUUCCGCAAUGGGCGAAAGCCUGACGGAGCAACGCCGCGUGAGUGAUGAAGGUCUUCGGAUCGUAAAACUCUGUUAGUAGGGAAGAACAAAAGUGUAAGUAACUAUGCACGUCUUGACGGUACCUAAUCAGAAAGCCACGGCUAACUACGUG